UACGUAGGGUGCGAGCGUUGUCCGGAAUUACUGGGCGUAAAGAGCUCGUAGGUGGUUUGUCGCGUUGUUCGUGAAAACUCACAGCUUAACUGUGGGCGUGCGGGCGAUACGGGCAGACUGGAGUACUGCAGGGGAGACUGGAAUUCCUGGUGUAGCGGUGGAAUGCGCAGAUAUCAGGAGGAACACCGGUGGCGAAGGCGGGUCUCUGGGCAGUAACUGACGCUGGAGGCGCGAAAAGCGUGGGGGAGCAAACAGG
rnacentral:rRNA from 1 species